CACGUAGGGGGCAAGCGUUGUCCGGAUUCAUUGGGCGUAAAGAGCUCGUAGGCGGUUCGAUAAGUCGGGUGUGAAACCUCCAGGCUCAACCUGGAGACGCCACCCGAUACUGUCGUGACUAGAGUCCAGUAGGGGAGCGUGGAAUUCCUGGUGUAGCGGUGAAAUGCGCAGAUAUCAGGAGGAACACCGGUGGCGAAGGCGGUUCUCUGGGCAUUACCUGACGCUGAGGAGCGAAAGUGUGGGGAGCGAACAGG
rnacentral:rRNA from 1 species